GGUUGAUAGGUUAAGAGCUGAUUAACGGACGUUACCCACAGAAGAAGCACCGGCUAACUCCGUGCCAGCAGCCGCGGUAAUACGGAGGGUGCGAGCGUUAAUCGGAAUUACUGGGCGUAAAGGGUGCGUAGGUGGUUUGAUAAGUUAUCUGUGAAAUACCUGGGCUCAACCUGGGCAGGUCAGAUAAUACUGUUAGACUCGAGUAUGGGAGAGGGUAGUGGAAUUUCCGGUGUAGCGGUGAAAUGCGUAGAGAUCGGAAGGAACACCAGUGGCGAAGGCGGCUACCUGGCCUAAUACUGACACUGAGGCACGAAAGCGUGGGGAGCAAACAGGAUUAGAUACCCUGGUAGUCCACGCUGUAAACGAUGUCAACUAGCUGUUGGUUAUAUGAAAAU
rnacentral:rRNA from 1 species